UGCGGGCGCAGCUACCAUGCAGUCGAGCGGUAACAGAUCCAGCUUGCUGGAUGCUGACGAGCGGCGGACGGGUGAGUAAUGCAUAGGAAUCUGCCCGAUAGUGGGGGAUAACCUGGGGAAACCCAGGCUAAUACCGCAUACGUCCUACGGGAGAAAGGGGGCUUCGGCUCCCGCUAUCGGAUGAGCCUAUGUCGGAUUAGCUAGUUGGUGAGGUAAAGGCUCACCAAGGCAACGAUCCGUAGCUGGUCUGAGAGGAUGAUCAGCCACAUCGGGACUGAGACACGGCCCGAACUCCUACGGGAGGCAGCAGUGGGGAAUAUUGGACAAUGGGGGCAACCCUGAUCCAGCCAUGCCGCGUGUGUGAAGAAGGCCCUCGGGUUGUAAAGCACUUUCAGCGAGGAAGAACGCCUAGCGGUUAAUACCCGCUAGGAAAGACAUCACUCGCAGAAGAAGCACCGGCUAACUCCGUGCCAGCAGCCGCGGUAAUACGGAGGGUGCAAGCGUUAAUCGGAAUUACUGGGCGUAAAGCGCGCGUAGGUGGCUUGAUAAGCCGGUUGUGAAAGCCCCGGGCUCAACCUGGGAACGGCAUCCGGAACUGUCAAGCUAGAGUGCAGGAGAGGAAGGUAGAAUUCCCGGUGUAGCGGUGAAAUGCGUAGAGAUCGGGAGGAAUACCAGUGGCGAAGGCGGCCUUCUGGACUGACACUGACACUGAGGUGCGAAAGCGUGGGUAGCAAACAGGAUUAGAUACC
rnacentral:rRNA from 1 species